UGCGUAGGCGGCCGAGCAAGUCAGUUGUGAAAACUAUGGGCUUAACCCAUAACGUGCAAUUGAAACUGACAGCCUUGAGUAUCGGAGAGGAAAGCGGAAUUCCUAGUGUAGCGGUGAAAUGCGUAGAUAUUAGGAGGAACACCAAUGGCGAAGGCGGCUUUCUGGACGACAACUGACGCUGAGGCGCGAAAGUGUGGGGAGCAAACA
rnacentral:rRNA from 1 species